AUCUCAUCUAGGGAAAAAAACAAAAACUGUUUUUUUGGGGUUUUUUUAGAUCAACAUCUCCAAAGGAUUUCAGUGAUCUUUAAUGAGAUCGAGAUGAAUGAGAUUAUACAAUGAGGAUCGUCUACAUUCUGAUUACAUCAUCAGACAGCAUACAGAAAACAGGCUCGGUCAAACACAAUUAAACCCUCUGUCUAACUGUAGCUUUGUAGUUUUACCCUGGAGACAUAAGUGUAAAUUGUGUGAAGAAGAGGAGAUCUAUUUUGUUCCUGGGUGAAAGAAGACAAUGUGGAUCGAUCUGUUAUUUACGCCUGUUACCUGGUGGCAGGAUCCCCAGCACUGCCGUGACCGAGACGUUACCCAAGUCAUUCCUGGCAAUGCAUCUGUAGGUCCCCGAAUCCGCCCGAGUCGCAUCCUCGAUCUGCAGCCAGCUAGAGAGCUCAUACUUCUGAGGUCCUCCUCUGGACUGUGUGUAGGAUGAUGGGGGGAAACGUGAGGAUCGUCUCCAGGCAAAACAACCUCCUUUCCCUCUUUCCUCCAUUCCACCAGCGCCAUAGGAAAGGCGAAGACCUCGCACAAAAACACAGCACUGCUGCCGGUCACGUUCACCAAGUUACGCGGCGGGACUUUGAUGACAGGAACUUACCGCGAAGAAAGAGAAAAAAAAAAGAGA